rnacentral:rRNA from 1 species
AUGGGCGCAAGCCUGAUCCAGCAAUGCCCCGUGAGUGAUGAAGGCCUUAGGGUUGUAAAGCUCUUUUACCCGGGAUGAUAAUGACAGUACCGGGAGAAUAAGCUCCGGCUAACUCCGUGCCAGCAGCCGCGGUAAUACGGAGGGAGCUAGUACACUCCC